rnacentral:rRNA from 1 species
UGCAGUCGAGCGGUACUUUGGAGCUUGCUCCAUUGCUUUAGCGCGCGCGACGGGUGUGAGUCACGUGGGGACCUGCCCUGCAGAGGGGGUAACUCCGGGGAACCGGUGCUUAAUACGAAUAGUUUUUUGCCCCUCCUGGGGCGCAACUUGUUGACCUCUUCAGCUGUCACUGCUAGAUGGGACCGCGGCGCAUUAGCUAUAUGGGGGGGUAAUGGCCCCCAUCUGCAACUAUGCUUAGACGACCUGAGAGGGUGAUCGGACUGACUGGGACUGAGAACUCCUCCAGACUCCUACGGUGGGCAACAUUGGGGAAUCUUCCGCACUGUGAUCCAGUCUGACCGAGCGUGCCGCGUGGCUGUUUAAUGUUUUCGGAUCUUAAAACUCUGUUGUGACUCAAUAACUAAUACCAAUUAACUACUGGUACCUUGACGGUACCUCACCCGACAGCCUCUGCUAACUACGUGCCGGCAGCCGCGAUAAUACGUACGUGGCUCGC